AUACGAAGGGGGCAAGCGUUGUUCGGAAUAACUGGGCGUAAAGCGCACGUAGGCGGAUUGAUUAGUUAGAGGUGAAAUCCCAGGGCUCAACCCUGGAACUGCCUUUAAUACUGGCAGUCUAGAGACCGAGAGAGGUGAGUGGAAUUCCGAGUGUAGAGGUGAAAUUCGUAGAUAUUCGGAGGAACACCAGUGGCGAAGGCGGCUCACUGGCUCGGUACUGACGCUGAGGUGCGAAAGCGUGGGGAGCAAACAGGAUUAGAUACCCUAGUAGUCC
rnacentral:rRNA from 1 species